rnacentral:rRNA from 1 species
CCUACGGGUGGCACCAGUGGGGAAUAUUGCACAAUGGGCGCAAGCCUGAUGCAGCCAUGCCGCGUGUAUGAAGAAGGCCUUCGGGUUGUAAAGUACUUUCAGCGGGGAGGAAGGUGUUGUGGUUAAUAACCGCAGCAAUUGACGUUACCCGCAGAGGAAGCACCGGCUAACUCCAUGCCAGCAGCCGCGGUGAUGCGGAGGGUGCAAGCGUUAAUCGGAAUUACUGGGCGUAAAGCGCACGCAGGCGGUCUGUCAAGUCGGAGGUGAAAUCCCCGGGCUCAACCCGGGAACUGCAUUCGAAACUGGCAGGCUAGAGUCUUGUAGAGGGGGGUAGAAUUCCAGGUGUAGCGGUGAAAUGCGUAGAGAUCUGGAGGAAUACCGGUGGCGAAGGCGGCCCCCUGGACAAAGACUGACGCUCAGGUGCGAAAGCGUGGGGAGCAAACAGGAUUAGAUACCCUUGUAGUC